GAGAAUUGGAAUCGAUUGUGAAUUUAUAUAUGCUUGAGAAAUUGAGGUUGUGUAUUUAUUUAUUUAGGUUGUAAAUUUAUAUUUUUGUGAAUGCUUGAGAAUUUGCGGUUUUAAACCGCAAAACGCGAUCGGUUUGCAGUUUCAAAAAUCACCAAACCGUAAAUAGUCGGUCGGUUUGCGGUUUGAGUAAAAAUUCGCGGUUACCGAACCGCAACCACCCCUAGACAUCAGCAAUGCAUGCGUAAUUG
rnacentral:lncRNA from 1 species